AAGGUCUGUGCAGGAGAGAUCGGUUCAUCCCGGCGCCGAAGGAGCAACCCCCCGGAAACUCUCAGGCAAAUGAACUGCACUAUGGAC
rnacentral:ncRNA from 1 species